UGAGGAACAUGACUUUCGGCGGGGGAUAGCCGGCCCAACGGCCGGGUAAUACCGCGUACGACCUUUUGGGGACAUCCCCGAUUGGUGAAAGCAGCAAUGCGCCGAAAGAGUGCCUCGCGGCCUAUCAGCUAGUUGGUGGGGUAACGGCUCACCAAGGCGACGACGGGUAGCUGGUCUGAGAGGAUGGCCAGCCACAUUGGGACUGAGACACGGCCCAGACUCCUACGGGAGGCAG
rnacentral:rRNA from 1 species